rnacentral:rRNA from 1 species
AUUGAACGCUGGCGGCAGGCUUAACACAUGCAAGUCGAACGGUAGCAGGAGGAAGCUUGCUUUCUUGCUGACGAGUGGCGGACGGGUGAGUAAUGCUUGGGAAUCUGGCUUAUGGAGGGGGAUAACUACGGGAAACUGUAGCUAAUACCGCGUAGAAUCGGAAGAUGAAAGUGCGGGACCGCAAGGCCGCAUGCCAUGAGAUGAGCCCAAGUGGGAUUAGGUAGUUGGUGGGGUAAAGGCCUACCAAGCCUGCGAUCUCUAGCUGGUCUGAGAGGAUGGCCAGCCACACUGGAACUGAGACACGGUCCAGACUCCUACGGGAGGCAGCAGUGGGGAAUAUUGCGCAAUGGGGGAAACCCUGACGCAGCCAUGCCGCGUGAAUGAAGAAGGCCUUCGGGUUGUAAAGUUCUUUCGGUAUUGAGGAAGGUUGAUGUGUUAAUAGUACAUCAAAUUGACGUUAAAUACAGAAGAAGCACCGGCUAACUCCGUGCCAGCAGCCGCGGUAAUACGGAGGGUGCGAGCGUUAAUCGGAAUAACUGGGCGUAAAGGGCACGCAGGCGGUUAUUUAAGUGAGGUGUGAAAGCCCCGGGCUUAACCUGGGAAUUGCAUUUCAGACUGGGUAACUAGAGUACUUUAGGGAGGGGUAGAAUUCCAUGUGUAGCGGUGAAAUGCGUAGAGAUGUGGAGGAAUACCGAAGGCGAAGGCAGCCCCUUGGGAAUGUACUGACGCUCAUGUGCGAAAGCGUGGGGAGCAAACAGG